rnacentral:rRNA from 1 species
CCUACGGGGGGCACCAGCAAAGAGGGGCGCGCGGCACUUACCGCACUUGGCCUCCUCGCCCAGGCGCUCCGCGGGUACCCGGUUAACCGCAUCGCAAUGGGGACAGACAACGUGAACAGCUUGGGUCAUGGGGCUUUGCUCCUGGGGGUGAAUGAGACCCUGGCGCCGGCGGGGCGGAUGAUCCGUGACCCCGCCGGCUUGAAUCGCUCGCUUUGCAGGCCUAUUUACGGGCUUCCCAACCAAUUCCAACCGCUCGAUUCAGGAGGACGGCGCCCAUGGCCAACUCACCCUAUCUGGUCGCCGUCACGGCGCAAAACUUCCAAGAGGUGGUCCUCGAGGGCUCCUACGACCGCCCCGUCCUGGUGGACUUCUGGGGCGCCUGCUGCACCCCGUAGG